CGAUGCGUUCCAUAUGUGGCUCACCAAUAGGUUGUCCAGGACAGAUAAGCAUGUCUUAACGACGGUAUCUCCACAAUUUUUAAUCUUUGCGCAUAACACGAUGAAAACAAGGGGGUUACUCUGUAAGGCGUUGCGCAAGUGAAAAAGUUCGUAAAUGACAAAAAGCAACUCUGUAGGGCGACAAGCGCAUUCGCAAUGGCAGCACUCUGUAUUGCGUAAACGACUGUCAAAUCUGUGCGUUUAACGUAUUUUUGAUUCGAUAUCAAACUGGCAAGCGCAACGGACAAAAAAUGGAACAUUUUAAAAAUAAACAAACAAACCCAACACAGUUCGAAAUUUUAAUCAAUUACAUGAAAACACAUUCGGAACUUUCCAAAGGACAACUGAAAACUGUGGACGCGAAAAAUGCUGCAAAUAAUUUAUGGAAAGAGUUGGUAUGUGACCUUAAUGCUGCGGGGCCACCAUCGCGCGAUGUUUUAAAAUGGAAAAAGGUUUGGUCGGAUUAUAAAACUCAUUUGAAAGCAAAAAUGCGUCGGAAUAAAAUAAGUAUUUCUGGAACUGGUCGUCCAAGUCAUUGCUCCUUAACACCGUUG